GAAAGCACGACAUUGCUCACAUUGCUUCCAGUAUUACUUUAGCCAGCCUUGAGCUGGCUUUUUUUU
rnacentral:antisense_RNA from 1 species